rnacentral:lncRNA from 1 species
AGACUCGGCUCUGGCCGGCUCCCUCUCCCACGUUCUGUGACCGCUGAGGCAAACAUGGCUUCAGGAGUGCAAGUUGCUGAUGAAGUAUGCUGCAUUGUUUAUGACAUGAAAGUUCAGAAGUGCUCCACACCAGAAGAAAUCAAGAAAAGAAAGAAGGGGGAGUUCCCGCUGUCGUUUUUUGUCUCAGUGCAGACAAAAAGUGCAUCAUUGUAAAGAAGGCAAAGAGAUCUUAGUUGGAGAUGUUGGUGUAAACAUAACCGAUCCUUUCAAGCAUCUCGUGGGGAUGCUUCCUGAGAAAGCUUGUCGCUCUCUAUGCUUUGAAUGAUGCAAGCUUUGAAACCAAGAAGUCCAGAAAAUGGAAAUUGAUGUUUUUUUCUGUGGGCACCAGAACUAGCACCUCUGAAAAGUAAAAUGAUCUAUGCCAGCUCCAAGGACACAAUCAAAAAGAAUUUCAAGGCAUAAAACACAAAUGUCAAGCAAACGGGCCAGAAGACCUCAAUCGGGCUUGUAUUGCCGAAAAGCUAGGUGGAUCCUUAAUUGUAGCCUUUGAAGGAUGGCCUGUGUAGAUGAUCAUUCAGUGCCACAGAUGGAAAGCUUCCGUGUUCAAUGUUGUCCUCUUGCUAUAUAAGUAAAGCAAACACACGGAGGCAAGGGACUCCCUGAGGGGAGCUGUCUUGUCAGUUUGUUAGAGUAAACUAACUAUUCUAUGAACAUGAGCCCACGGCCCUAAAUCAAUCUAAAUUCUACAUUUUUUUUUUUUUUGGUAUGAAAUUAAAGUCUUAUUGGCCAAAUGCCUAUUUUGAUGAGUCGGCUUGUAAAUAUUUUUGUUAAACUCAUGAUUUUUAAUCAUUUCAGUCAUGUGGUUCCUAAAACAAUGCAAGGCCAUAUGAAGAGAAUUAUUGCAUCUUUGUUAACUUCAGCAGUUACUUUGUUUCUUUUGCUUAGAGAAUUGGUCAUAAUCAAUUAUAUUGGUCAUAUAAUUUUGGCCCACGUUCUUGAGUCUCUGCUGGGCAACAUGAAUAAUGGAAAAUAUUUCUCCUCACAACAUGUAACAGCACUAAUAUACUAACUACAGUAAGAUUAAAUCAGGCCAGAUUCUACCAGACAUGGACACUGCCUUGAAACUGUGUAUACUUAGAACCUGUGCUGAGCUUGCAAAGCACUAUUUCAAGCACAUAGUUCUUGCACUCUUUGCAGUGAGCUGCUUGCUCACUAGUCAGGAGGCUGCUGGGAGAGUGACCUUGCAUCUUGGAAAUCAGGAGAACAUGCACUGUCUUGUACCAACUAAUUGGAGUACAUAUUAGGGCUCCAUUGUAAUGUGCUUUAUUAAUGGAAAUGGUAAGAUAGUAUAUCAACAAGCUGGGGCACCUGUGCUAUCUUUAAUUUGUCUCCUUUGGAACUGUGUUUCUUCUGGUACAAUAAGGUGUGGAAGAACGUUCUGUUUACUCUGGGGCCGGGGAGAACCUCUUUACCUUCCUAGAGCAGUUUGCCAACUGAAUGUGACACGGGGACCAGGUAUGGCGGGCGGCACCCACAGGAAGCCACUGCCUGAUGACACUUGGAAAUGAUUGUCUUUAACAUCACAGGCAUAACACUCUGAACAAUAUAGAGAUGCACCAACAGGUGAAUUUAGAAGUAGCAGUACUGGCUUUAUGUAAUAAAGGAAGCAUUUU